rnacentral:tRNA from 1 species
AGGAACUUAGGAUAACAUUAAAGUCCACGGGCCUUCAAAGCCCGACGUGGAGGCGUAAAUCCUCCAGGUCCUG